UACGGGGGGAGCAAGCGUUGUUCGGAUUUACUGGGCGUAAAGGGCGCGUAGGCGGCGCAACAAGUCACUUGUGAAAUCUCCGGGCUUAACCCGGAGCGGUCAAGUGAUACUGUCGUGCUAGAGUGCGGAAGGGGCUACUGGAAUUCUCGGUGUAGCGGUGAAAUGCGUAGAUAUCGAGAGGAACACCUGCGGCGAAGGCGGGUUGCUGGGCCGACACUGACGCUGGAGGCGCGAAAGCUAGGGGAGCGAACGGG
rnacentral:rRNA from 1 species